UACGUAGGGUGCAAGCGUUGUCCGGAAUUAUUGGGCGUAAAGAGCUCGUAGGCGGUUCGUCGCGUCGGCUGUGAAAUCCCGAGGCUCAACCUCGGGUCUGCAGUCGAUACGGGCGGACUGGAGUUCGGCAGGGGAGACUGGAAUUCCUGGUGUAGCGGUGAAAUGCGCAGAUAUCAGGAGGAACACCGGUGGCGAAGGCGGGGUCUCUGGGCAGUAACUGACGCUGAGGAGCGAAAGCGUGGGGGAGCGAACAGGG
rnacentral:rRNA from 1 species